rnacentral:lncRNA from 1 species
AUGCAUCUCCCUCUUGCCUUGCCCAUCCCACUCAUCCUUUUCCUGAUCAUCUCUGGCCUCACGCAAUCGCCAUUGGUACUGCCCCUUUGGUCCUCAUACACCAGCAAGUGGAAUCUUCCUCCACCUUGGGGCCACCUGUCCUCUCGUUGGCUCAGUCCUACAAGAUCCCAUCCAUUCCUCUCCUCUGAGCUUUGCCCACCCUGCCUCAAGCCCCACCCCUCUCUGACUCAGCCCCACCUCUGUCUCCCCUCAGUUCUCAGGGCUGUGCCUGGAGCUCCAGCCCUCCGUGCACCUGCUCACCCUGGCCCGCUGGGGCCCACAGACGCUGCUGCUGCGCUUGGAGCACCAGUUUGCCAGUGGGGAGGACUCGGGCCGCAACUUGAGCUCCCCUGUGACCUUGGAUUUACAGAACCUGUUCUCCUCCUUCACCAUCACCCACCUGCAGGAGACCACGCUGGUGGCCAACCAGCCCCGGGCCAGCGCCUCCAGGCUCCAGUGGACACCGGACACCGGCCCUGUACCAAACCCCUCGGUGCCCGCUCUGGACCUGGCCACCAUCACGCUGCAGCCCAGGGAGAUCCGCAUGUUUGUGGCCUCGGUCCAGUGGAAAGAGGACGGCGGGACCUGCGGGGAAGUCGCCUUGCAAGCCUGAGCUCUCUGCUCCUGGGACGAGUCCGACUCUUCUCCUCUGCCCCCGUGCUGCCGCCCAAAAUGUCAUUAAAAUAGUGAUGACACUCAGGUCACCGAAGGACUCUUUGUGGCAUCUUUUAGAGGGAGGUAGAAUGUAUGACCUAGAGGCUGGCGCUGUGGCAUAGUGGGUAAAGCCGCCGCAAGCAGUGCCAGCAUCCCAUGUGGACCCCGAUUCGAGUCCCAGCUGCCUCACUUCUGAUCCAGCUCUCUGCUAAUGUGCCUGGGAAAGCAACGGAAGAUGGCCCAAGUCCUUGGGCUCCUGCACCUGCAUGGGAGACCUAGAUGGAGCUCCUGGCUUCAGCCCAGCUCUGGCCGUUGCAGUCUUUUGGGGAGUAAAACAGUAUAUGGAAGAUUUAUCUCUGUCACUCUGCCUUUCAAAUAAAUAAAUAAAUUCACUGGCA